GCGAGUUAGCCAAGUGGUAAGGCGUAGGUCUGCAACACCUUGAUCGCCGGUUCAAAUCCGGCACUCGC
rnacentral:tRNA from 1 species